CCAUCAUCUCUCAAUGAGGUGGAGCUACUGCCCUUGAAAGGUUAUUUCCCUUCUAAUUGGCCUACUAACAGUAAGUAUUACCAUGUGUAUCUUAAUUUGUAUUUUAAAAGGUUGAUAGACAUAUGAUGAACUUUGAGCACUAAUGCUAACUAACUGUGUGUGGGAUUGUUUAAAGCCAACAAACCGAUGGUGUUUAAAGCUAUAGUGGUUUCUCCUAUUAUAUGCAAUGAGUUUCUGAAAAUGUGUAUGAAAAUUUAAUACAUCAUUAUUUCUGGGGUUCAAGUCCCAUAGGGCAAGCAAUAUAAUGAAAUCUUGAAUCUUCAUUUAAGCAUUAGGUUAAAGUUGAAUUUUAUAAGUUUAUAUUUGACUUUUUAAAAGUACAAACAAUAGGCGUACAAAUGAGAAUUUUUUCAAAGAACUUCUUGCAUCAAGUUCUAAUCCUUAUGGUUUAUUUGAAAAUAUAUUUAGUGAAUAAUUUAUUUUCACCUUGGGAAGGUCCUGAAGAUUUUAGGUUGAAUUGAGCCAGAAGAGUAUGAUUUUUGCUUUGAGAAUAUCUUAUUUGUUUUGAAAAAUUAUUAAUAAGGCAGGCUACCCACCAAAUUUUUCUUGUAAUAAAGAAACUUUUAGUAAGUUGAAUUCAUAUUUAGUUCUAUGAAUCUGUAAACUUAUCUGUACAUUUUGAUCUCUUAAUGAUUUCUAAUAGUUGAAUUUGGUUCAUAACUGAUCCAGACAAAGCAUUUAAUGACAUAUUCAUAUUAUUUCAUAGUUGCUUUUAGAUUUUGAUUUUUCCUUUUUUAACUGAACAAACCUAGUCCAACCAGCAUAAAUCUAAUAAAAAACUAAUAAACGUUUAUCCUUCUCAUAUGGAGAUUUUCAUAUUUGUUGCAGUUAUUUACUUACCAGUAUCAGCAUGCUAAUUUCCUGUUUUCCAUAUAUUUUAAUAAAAUAAUUAAGAAAGACAUGCAAGAGAAUAUUUUAAAAUUACACAAGUACUUCCGUACAGCUCAACUGGUAUGCUGAUUAAAGAGAACUGCUGGCCAUCAAGCAGUGCCUCAGUGCACUAACUCAAAACAGGUGUUCUUAUUCAUUUACUGAUAUGCAGAACUCUAAAUUUGAUUUAAGUUAUGCAAUUUAUGUAUACUCAUAGAAAGAGAAUGAGUAGAUAGCAUAGUAAUUCAAUGGAUAGAAGUUCACAGACAUUUCUGCAUGUACUUAAAGGUUUAUUUUAUGUCAUGAUUAAUUUAAUAGUUGAACUCUGAGGUAUAAAGACAUUUAAUCCAGUUUUUUAUGUGUCAUUUUAUUUUCAUCAAGUGUUCAUUUUCUCAUCUUCUUUAUAGCAGUGGUCCAUGCAUUAUUAGUUUGUAAUGCCAGCACAGAGCUGACGACUUUGAAAAAUAUUCAAGACUACUUUAAUCCAGCUGCUUUACCUCUAAUGCCAUAUUUGUUAACAAUGUAAGUCAUCAUUUAUCUUUGGGUUGUUGGUAUUAAAAAAUGAUAACUGAAAGUGAAUAUAAAAAUACAAUAAAAGUACAUUAUUUAAAUUUUACAAAUAAAAGUUUAAUUAUUUUUUAGAAUAUGAAAUUACUGUCAUUAAUUAGAAGAGAAAGGGGGUAGGGGACACAGUUCAAUGAUAGAAUACUUUCUUAGCAUGCACAAGUCCCUGAGUUCUAUCUCCAAUACAUCCCCCCACACAAAUAAACAAAAUUUGAAAAAAUAAAAAGAGAAAGGGAAAUAUGCAAAAUUUACCAUUUAUUUAUUUAUUUAUGUAUUGUGGUUUGGGCUAAUAAAUAAGUACUGUGAAUUUUUUCUCUGUAUCAAGGGAUAAUAUUCUAAAGAUCUUUGGAGUGAUGAUUUAAUAAUUCAUCUAUAGUUUGAUACUGUAUAUUAUUUGGCAUUUAUAAGAAUUAUUUUACAGCUUGCAUACAGUGCAUAUGUCAAUACUGAUUUUAUUCUUUUUUUUUUUUUUUGGUACCAAGAAUUAAACUCAGGGGUGGUUAAGCACUAAGCUACAUCCUCAGCCCUUUUAAUUUUUUUUAUUUGAGAAGGUAUCUCACUGAGUUGCUUAGGGCCUUGCUAUUUGUUUUUUUUUUUUUUUUUAAUAUUUUUAAUUUUUUAUUGUGGGUUGUUCAAAACAUUACAAAUUUCUUGACAUAUCAUAUUCCACACUUCGAUUCAAGUGGGUUAUGAACUCCCACCUUCACCCCAUACACAGAUUUCGGGCCUUGCUGUUUGUUAAGAUUGGCUUUGAACUUGUGAUCUUCCUGCCUCAGCCUCCCCAGCCUUUGAGAUUAUAGGCAUGCCCCACCAACUUGACUUGAUUUUAUUCUUUGUUUUUUAAUUUUAAUUUUUUUUAGUGUUUAUUUAUAUGCUGUGCUGAGGAUCAAACCCAGGCCCUCAAACAUACCAUGCAAGCACUUCAGCCCUGAUUUUAUUCUUAACAUUACCAGUUAAUUUUUCAAACACCAAGAUCCUUUUUAAAAAAUGGAAAGUUAUAGUGUCCUAAAUGCAUUCAAAUAAUAGAAAAAGUCCAUUUUUCCAAUUUGGAUUGUUAUUACUCAUUUGGAGUGUUUUGCUUUUCUCAUGCCAAUGAAAUUCUAGGUAAAACAUAUCCUUAUGGAUUACUAUAUGUAGUAUGAUAAUCUGACUUGGAUCUUAGAGUAGAAUAAGAUAUUGAAGUUAGGAAACAUAAAAUGUGAAAGAAGACUGUAGUUUAAUAGUAAUGAACAAAUGUUGGUCUUUUGGUAUUGACAAAUAUUUCUUGGCACUGUAAAAAGUUAACAUAAGGGGAAGAAGUGGGUGAGGAAUAUUUAGGAAUACUCUGUUAUCUUUGGAACUCCAGCAAAUAAAAAUUCCAAAAUAAAAAAAUUAUAUUAAAAAUUGCAAGUUUAAUUAAAUUUACUUAAAUAUUAUAUUUCGUAAUAUCCUAGUCAAAACAAAAGAGAUUUAUGGUUAAUUAAAAAAUAUCCUUAUGGUUCCAUUAUUUUUUUGUGCAAUUGAAAUGAAUUGAACCUUUAUAGAAAUAGAAAUAAAAGCAUUUAUAUAUUUUCAGUUUUACCUGAAAUAAACACUGUUAAUUAUCUGAUUCUUAACAGUGCUGAGUUUUGGGGAAACAUUUUAAUAUUUGUAUAUAUCUAUCUGUAUUUGAAAUAAUUAACUUCCUCAUGUUGUUGAAGAUUAUAUAAAGUAAUGUGUAAAAUAUGUAGACUCACGACACAGAUAGGAAAUAUUGAACAAAGUUUAGUCUUCUUGCACACUUCUCUAAGUUGAGGCUGGUAUCCAUAUGUCCUCCCCAUCUUACCCACAAAAUGUUUUCUGUGGUGUUUAUAAAAUGAAGGCCAGUUGUGAAUAAGUUUGUGAUUUGUUGCCUUUUUACUAGGUCUCCGUCAACUACAGUUAGCAACAAGAGAGAAAAUAAGAGAAAAUUUAUCCCACCAGCCUUUGCAAAUAUCAGUACAAAAUUUGAACUACUUAGCCUGGGAGAAACAUUGCAGUUAGCUAGUGAGUUAAUUCAGACACACAAGUUAAACAAGGACCAAGCUACAGCUCUAAUUCAGAUAGCUCAAAUGAUGGCAUCCCGUGAAAGUGUUGAAGAAGGGAAGGAACUGCACACCCAUACCCUCCCUAUCACAGUCAUACAUGGUAAGAAGCAAGAAAACAGUCCUAGUAAAUAUAUUUUUAUGUAAACUUAUAUAAGGUAAUCUUUUCGUAAUAUCCUAGUCCAGAAUAACUGUGAGUAAAUACUUUUAAACUUGAACCCAGAACCCACUUGAGUAAACUGUUAAAUUAGAGCACAUCUGACUACCUUGAAACGAAAAAUUGGUAGCAUAUCUGAUGAAUGGUCAGCAUUAUUUAGUCAUUGCUAAAGAGUCCAGAUUGGUCUAGAUAUCUGUGUAUUCUUCUGUUAGACUGGACUUCAAUCCUUAUCAGCAAAGCUUAUAUUCCUACUCUGUUUAUUCUUUCAUCUUCCACAGCAGCUAUUCCAGAACUUCCUUGUUCUCAUAACCCCAUCCUUGCCCCUCCUCCACCCCUCUGAAAUUGAUCUUGCCUCUAAAAUAGGAAUUAAAUUUGUAACAGAAACUUCUUUUAAUGUCCUGAGCUCCUUCAAUUUACGUAAGUUUAGACUCAUUCUUACCCUUUUUUUUGCUCUGUCCAGGUGAAGGGAGCUCUAUUUUCUUUUAUUCAGAAUUAAUACCUUUCUCUGUAUUUUGGCUUCUGUGUAGCUCAUUUCUCCAUAGGUUAGUUCUCUACUUAAUCUUCUACUUUCUUACUGUUUAUCUUUCCACAUCAGAACAAUCACUGAGGUGGGUCCCAUCUGACUGCUUGCUAUCCAUCCUUCAUAAUGAUUUUCUCCUUCCAGUUUACUUGAAUCCACACAUUCCAGUCCAUCAUCAGAUCUCCACGUGGCCUACUCGGUGGAGGGUAGUCUCUAGAGCUAGAAUUCUGCCUUUGGCUCUUUCAUUUAUUAGCUAUAUGAUCUUGAACACAUCACUUAUCUCUUAGCUUUAAUUUCCUGCUCUGUAAAAUGGAAAUGAUAACGGCAUCUACCUCAGAGGGGUGGGGGAUUAAAUAACUCAACGUAAGUGAAUGCUUAGAACAGUAUCUGGCACAAUGGAAUACGCUUAGUAAAUUUAGUAUUUAUUACGUUGGGAUUAUCUCACACAAUUUUCUUAUUGAUCCACCUUUAGGUUUCCUUUCUCUGUAUUUGUUUAUUUAUUUAUUUUUUCUAAUACUACCGCUGAGCUAUGUACACAGCCCUUUUUGUUUUUAUAUUGAGACAGGGUCUGAAUAAGUUGCCAGGGUUGACCUUUAACUUGCAAUAAAUACUCCUGCCUCAGACUCCAUUAAUUCCAGAGUAGCUGGGAUUAAAGGCAUGCACCAUGAUGCCUGGCUCCAAAUAGUGUUUUCAAAAACUAUCUGAGGGCUGGAGAUGUAGCUCAGUGUAGGGCACUUGCUAAACAUACACACACACACACACAGACAAUUUGAUAAGUCAGUUAUAUUGCUUAAAAUCCUUCAAUGACUUCCACUAACCUUUAAGAUUCAGAUUUUUCAGUCAUAAAAAACAUAUGUUUAACCUCUUGUGAUUUGUCCCUUGCCUCAUCUCUUGCCUGUUUGCUAUUUAUAGAAAUUCUUAAAGUUCUUUUACAAAAUUUUUAAUAGCUACGAACUCUGUUGUAACAUCCCCCUCUCCACCAAAGGAGAUGUUCUUCUUUCUCUGAUCCCAUAACAGUGUUACCAUAUUCUUUUGUAUUAUCUCUUUAUCUGCUUAUCCUAUUAGGUUGACUGUGGUCUCAUUAAAGGUAGAAGUAUUUUGUUAAUUAUUUAGUCAUUCCAUAGUGGGCAGUCAAUUUUUUCAAAUAAUUAAAUAAAGGAGAAUGUGACAGAUUAAAUAUUUCUUGUACUUUCAGUAAUGUGUUUAUUAUAUCACUUUAAUUUUUUCUCUUUCUUUAAAAUAAUUAGGUGUUUUUGGAGCAGGGAAGAGUUAUUUGCUGGCAGUGGUGAUUUUGUUCUUUGUACAACUAUUUGAAAAGACUGAAGCUCUUACAGUUGCAAAUACAAGGCCAUGGAAACUUCUGAUUUCUUCUUCCACUAAUGUAGCUGUUGACAGAGUACUUCUUGGGUAGGUAUGACAAGUGUAUUUGAGUAGCUGAUGUUUUAGGUUAUUGUUGAGAGAGGCAAUCCACCACAGGCCCUGAGUUUCUAUGUACAUCCUUGGUGGGUAUGCCAAGUACUCAAGGCUAUUGUCUUAUACCCAGAAGCUAGCAUCUGUGCUAAGUAACAAGCUAAACUAUUAAUUAAUAAGUAGGAUUGGGCUGGGGAUGUGGCUCGAGCGGUAACUCGCUCGCCUGGCAUGCACGGGGCGCUGGGUUCGAUCCUCACCACCACAUAAAAAUAAAAUAAAGAUGUUGUGUCCACUGAAAACUGAAAAAUAAAUACUAAAAAAAAUAAGUAGGAUAAAAUCAAAUACCAAACCUGAUAAUUUUGGCAUCAAGAUGAGAUAUUCAUGGGCCUGGAGGUGUAGCUCAGUGACACAGCACUUGCCUACCAUGUGUGAGGCACUGGGUUCCAUUCUUAGCACCACAUAAAAAUAAAUAAAUAAGAUAUUGUGUCCAUCUACAACUUAAAAAAAAUAAAAAAGAUGGGGUAUUCAUAUAAAAAUUCAGUUUCAAUUAACACGCAGGGCUACAUUGUAUUGCGGGGGAGGUAAUCCACCGUGGGCAUUUCUCAGGGUAGUCUUUAUAGCAAGCAGUUUUAACUGAUGAGUUAAUAUUAUCCUUCAGGACUAAGAACUUGCCUACUACUUGUUUUUAAAGAUAGUGGAUCUCCCAUCUCAGUGUUCUUGUCCUCUAACUCAAUCCACUGCAGGUGCAGUUAUCCAUGGGGAUACUCUUCAUCUUCCUAUGAAACUUGGGGACAAAGGGAUUCAAAUACUAUGAUAUCCACAUUGCUUUCUGUGCCAUGGGUAAAAGUCCUUUCUGACCCAUGAAUCUUGGGUCUGUUACCUUAGAAGUAGACUAAAAUCUCAGAACCAACAGUCUGGGAUUCAACAAUAUCUUAUUCAUCUGCCUUAAAAUAUGCACUAUUAACAAAGCUGAACAGUUUAAGUAGAUUAUGUUUUUAAUUUCAGUGAGAGGGAUCCAAAGAAUACAGUAGCAUUCUAUUCUGCAGAUAUCAAAUUUUUGUGAUUGCAUAAGAUUUUAAAAAUGCAAAGAAAAUUACACAGAAUAUUUUACAUUUUUAAUUUUUCACCAAAAAACUUUGUCAUUUUAUGAGUUUUAAUAGGAGAAAUAAUCCAUUAUUUACAAGUCUAGUCUUCUUAAAAACUAACUUUGUUUUCUCUCUGUUUUUAUGGUACUAUGGAUUGAACACAGAGCCUCAAGCAUGCUGCUAGACAAGCGCUCUUCCACUGAUCUACAUCCUGAGUCCUAAAAAUUUAACUUUUAUAAUCACAUAAAUUAAUGCUAUGGUUAAAAUAUGCAGAUUUUGUAGUUUAUAUUUUGUUACAUUUCUUCACAAUUUUUUUUUAUACAUGUACACUUUCUAAAUGUGGGAUCUAACAAUAUGCAGUGUUCUGUGUCUUUUUUUUUAUUUAAAAGUUAUUUCUCUGUGGCAUUACAUCUUAGAAAACAUAAUUUUUAAUAAUUCUAUUAUAUUCAGUGAUUUUCUUGUACCAUUUAAACAAUUUUGAUCAAUAAGUUCUUUCCAAAUUUUUACCAUUAUAAAUUAUAUUGUGGCAAUGAUCCUUCAAUAUAGAUCUUUAUCAUACUCUGAUUCUUUCCUUAGGAAACAAGCCUAAGCCAAGAAUAAAAGAUGGGAACAUAUUUAAAUUUUUUAAUAAAUUUUGCAAAAUUGCCCUUCAGAAAAGUUCUACCAUUGUGUAGAUUUAUGAGAAAUUUAAGAGUAGCUGAGUAUGACAUUGUUACUUUUAAGAUACUGAGAAGUUAUCUGGGGACUACACAGGAAAGAACAUUACAUUGCUAAACCUACAAUAAAAAUAUCAGAGUAGACUGUUAGAAAACCAAAAAAAAAAAAAAAAAAAAAAUCAAGAAGUUAGAAUGAAGGGUAAGUACUAAAUACUAAAAGGAAACACUUAAAAGAGAUUCUUUAAUGUUUGAGUCUUUAAAAAGGACCUGAGAAAUGUAAGUCUGUAAUUAGAAUUGUUGCCUCAGCCACAGAUAGGCUGAACCUAUGUAUCUCUUCACAGUAAGAUAACAUUUUUGUUGUGCAUUUGAACAGACAAUAUAUUUUGUUAUUGUAAUGGACAGGAUAGGACAAAGUUUCUUGAGAAGAAAUGAAGAAGUAUGGGUAAAUACACAUACGUUUUACCCUGUGGUAGCAGUAGGUUGAGGAUACUGUGCCCUUUAUUGUUACAGAUUUAACAUAAACAUAUUAAAAACAAUGUAAACUAGUAUUUCAGACUGAAAGUAGCUGACUUCUUUAUAAUGAGGACUAUGAAAAAUUAAAAAAAAUGAUAUCUAUUUAUGUAUUGACACUAAAUAAAUUUCUUCAUAAUUAUUAUUUUUUUAUCACCUGAUUUAAUGAAAUGUAUAAACCAGAGAAAUGUUAAUGUAACAGGUUAUUUCUAAUAAAACUAAGAUAAAUACUUUGAAAGACUCAAUAAAGGCAAGCUGGCAGAAAUAAAAUACCAGAAAUAAAAUCAAAUUAGGUGCUGAGGAGAAGUGGUAAACAUUUGAUGGAGAAAAUAUAAGCCUAAAAGAAUCCUUCACUGGGAGUGUUUCCCAGAUGAUGAUGAGUAGUUUAUUAGUUCUAAUCAGUUAUACAUGACAGUAGAAAGUUCUUUAAUUCAUUGUACACAAAUGGAGCAGAAUUUUUCACUUCUCUGGUUGUACAUGAAGUAGAAUCAUACCAUUCAUGCUAUCAUACAUGUACCUAGGUUAAUGAUGUCUGUCUCAUUCCACCAUCUUUCCUACCCCCUUGCCCCUUCUCCCCAUCUCCUUUGCCCCAUCCAAAGUUUCUCCAUUCAGCCCAUGACCCCCCACCCCAUUAUGGAUUAGCAUCUACUUCUCAGAGAAAACAUUUGCCCCCUGUUUUUUUGGAAUUGGAUUAUUUCACUUAGCAUGAUAUUCUCCAACUCCAUCCAUUUACCUGUUAAUGCCAUAAUUUUAUUCUCUUUUAAUGCUGAGUAAUAUUCCAUUAUGUAUAUAUACCACAGUUUCUUUAUUCAUUCAUCUAUUGAAGGGCAUCUAGGUUGUUCCACAGUUUAGCUAUUGUGCUGCUAUAAACAUUGAAGUGGCUGCAUCCCUGUAAUAUGCUGUUUUUAAGUCUUUUGGAUAUACACUGGGGAGUGGGACACCUAGGUCAAAUGGUGGUUUUAUUUCAAGUUUUCCAAGGAAUCUUCAUAAUGCUUUCCAGAUUGGUUGCACCAAUUUGCAGUCCCACCAGCAAUGUAUGAUUGUGCCUUUCCCCCUCCAUAUCCUUGCUAAUACUUAUUAUUGCUUGUAUUCUUGAUAACUGCCAUUCUGACUGGAGUGAGAUGAAAUCUUAGUUUUAAUUUGCAUUUCUGGGGCUGGGGUUGUGGCCUAGCGCGUGCGAGACCCUGGGUUCGAUCCACAGCACCACAUAAAAACAAAUAAAAUAAAGGUAUUAUGUCCAACUACAACUAAAAAAUAUUAUUUUUUAAAAAAUUUGCAUUUCUGUAAUUACUAGAGAUGUUGAAUCUUUUUUUUAUAUAUUUGUUGAUCGAUUGUAUAUCUUCUGAGAAGUGUCUGUUCAGCUCCUUAGCCCAUUUAUUGAUUGGGUUGUUUGUUUUUUGGUGUUAUUUUUGAAAACUCUUUUUGGAGGGCUAUAGUUGCUUUCGUCCUCCAGGUCUUUAAAUUCUCACUUUGAGGUGGUAGAGGUGUCUUAGAGGAUAUGAUAUUUAUUGAGCACCAACUCUGUUCUUAGCAAACAGCUAUAGCUAUAAGUAAGAGGGACGGGUAGAUGAAGGUACCUUCCGCACAAAGCCCUAGUCAUGGAUAAUGUAUAUAGGAUAAGAUCAUAGCCUGUGGACAUAUACAGGCCAGCCUGGUUUGAAUCAUGGCUGAAUUCACUUUUUAAUGAUGUGGCCUCAGUAAAGUUAUUUUAACUUUGAGCUUCAUUCUCCUCAUCUCUUUUUUUUUUUUUUGAUAGCAGGGAUUGAACCCAGGGGCACUUAACCACUGAACCACGUCCCCAGCCUUUUUUUAUAUUUUAUUUAGAAAUGGGGUGUUGCUGAGCCUGGCUUUGAACUCUCAAUCCUCCUGCCUCAGUCUCCCUAGCCACUAGGAUUACAGCGCCGCUGUGCCCAGCCAUUGACCUAAUCUUUAACAUGAGAUAAUGUGUAGAGCAGUAGUGAGUAUUAAUUGAGAUAACAUAUAUAAUGAAGCUCUUCUUCUUAAAUCUUGAUGCUAAAUAUAUGAUAUCUGUUGCUUUCCAUAUUACUAUAUUCAGGGGUAAUUUUAUUUGUGACAAAUACUGACAUUGGUGUUUUACAAAUAUUAAAUGAGCCCUCAGCAGAAAAUAAUAAAUAUUUAAAAAAUCUCUAUAAAAUGGCACUGGGGAUGUAGCUCAGGGGUAAAAACACUUGCCCAGCACGCACAAAUCCCUGGGUUUUAUCACAAUCACUGCAAAAGGGAAAAAAAUAUAUAUAUUAACAGAAAUCUCUACAAAAUGUGUUUUAUAAAAGAAUUCUUUUAACUGUGUAGCAUUUACUUGAUUUGACUUUAGUAAUUUUACAUUAAAUUAUAUAACCCUAAAAUAUACUGUUAUACAAAUAAGUUUUAAUAUAAGUAUUAUAUGAAACCUAGUUUUAUAUUUCAUCUUGUAAAUAAUAUCUAUUUUAUUUUGUUUCUUUAAAGCCUUCUCAGCCUUGGAUUUGAAAAGUUUAUCAGAGUUGGGAGUGUAAGAAAGAUUGCCAAAC
rnacentral:lncRNA from 1 species